ACUCCUACGGGAGGCAGCAGUGGGGAAUAUUGCACAAUGGGCGCAAACGUGAUCCAGCCAUGCCGCGUGUGUGAAGAAGGUCUUCGGAUUGUAAAGCACUUUAAGUUGGGAGGAAGGGCAGUAAGUUAAUACCUUGCUGUUUUGACGUUACCAACAGAAUAAGCACCGGCUAACUCCGUGCCAGCAGCCGCGGUAAUAC
rnacentral:rRNA from 1 species